rnacentral:tRNA from 3 species
GCGCCCUUAGCUCAGUUGGAUAGAGCAACGACCUUCUAAGUCGUGGGUCGGGGGUUCGAAUCCCUCAGGGCGCGCCA